GCACUGUUUGUUCUUCGGAAAUAGGGUCUUGGAUGGUCUCGAAAAAGUAUCGGUAAUUCUCGGAAUAGGUUGUAGGAUGAUUCUCUUUUAUUUUAAUAUUACAUACAUUGGAGUACACGCCAAAUUUCAACAAUGAGUAAAGUUAGAAAAAUUCAAAUUUAAAUCAAGGAUUUCUUUCUCAAAAUAACGUUAAAACCUCAAAAGAUGGAUGAAAAAUGUGCUUUAGGAGCUGAACUAUAAUAAUUGAUACAUUUGUAAGUAAACAAAACGGUUUAAGAUAAGAUUUUCACCAACAAAAAAUCUCUGUCACAAAUUCUAGGUUAUGUUCUCUCGGUGAACUAAGAGAAUGUUAAAAUUAUUACAAUAUAUAUAUAUAGGUGACGUCUUUUGAGGUCGGGGCUAACUGAUCGUCUCUUUUCUUAUUAUGACUCUACCUCACUUAUCUACAUUUAUUCUCUUUUUGAGAAUAAACAGUGCGGGAUGCAACCCAACAUAUACAGUUGCCGAUUUUAUACAUAUGGUUAGCAAUCUGGAGUAGUAUAAUCAAUGGUGGUAUAAUAAAAGAGCUUUACUGUCUGAUAAAAAAAAACAUUACCUCUGCAGAGAUUAAUCAAAUACAUAAUACAAAUACAUUUUCUGGAAGUGUUAGCCUAAAUCAAACUGAUAAUUAAAAAUUGAUUACAACGAGGAAGUUCCAGUGGCUGUUAUAAAGUUAACGAGAAAGCUUUUUUAUGAUUUAGAAUCAUAGAUUAAACUUUACUAAUCACCUAUAAGAAUUGAUUAUAAAUUUUUAAACGUAUUUAAAAUAAAACUUUCCAACGCC